AUGCAUGAACAUCCUCCAGUUUGGUCUGGGCUGCAUAUAUACUAAAAUUGGAAUGGUACAGAGAAGAUAAGCAUGACUUUGCACAAGGAUGACAUGCAAAUUCAUGCAGUAUUCCAUAUUUGA
rnacentral:snRNA from 1 species